UUGCUUUGGCAGCAAAUAUACUAAAAUUAGAACAGCAGAGAGAAGAUUAGCACAACCACUACACAAGAUGAUACACAAAUUUGUGAAGCGUUCCACAUUUUU
ensembl:snRNA U6 U6 spliceosomal RNA